rnacentral:rRNA from 1 species
AGCGUACACGGUGGAUGCCCUGGCAGUCAGAGGCGAUGAAGGACGUGCUAAUCUGCGAUAAGCGUCGGUAAGGUGAUAUGAACCGUUAUAACCGGCGAUUUCCGAAUGGGGAAACCCAGUGUGUUUCGACACACUAUCAUUAACUGAAUCCAUAGGUUAAUGAGGCGAACCGGGGGAACUGAAACAUCUAAGUACCCCGAGGAAAAGAAAUCAACCGAGAUUCCCCCAGUAGCGGCGAGCGAACGGGGAGCAGCCCAGAGCCUGAAUCAGUGUGUGUGUUAGUGGAAGCGUCUGGAAAGGCGCGCGAUACAGGGUGACAGCCCCGUACACAAAAAUGCACAUGCUGUGAGCUCGAUGAGUAGGGCGGGACACGUGGUAUCCUGUCUGAAUAUGGGGGGACCAUCCUCCAAGGCUAAAUACUCCUGACUGACCGAUAGUGAACCAGUACCGUGAGGGAAAGGCGAAAAGAACCCCGGCGAGGGGAGUGAAAAAGAACCUGAAACCGUGUACGUACAAGCAGUGGGAGCACAGAGCAAUCUGUGUGACUGCGUACCUUUUGUAUAAUGGGUCAGCGACUUAUAUUCUGUAGCAAGGUUAACCGAAUAGGGGAGCCGAAGGGAAACCGAGUCUUAACUGGGCGUUAAGUUGCAGGGUAUAGACCCGAAACCCGGUGAUCUAGCCAUGGGCAGGUUGAAGGUUGGGUAACACUAACUGGAGGACCGAACCGACUAAUGUUGAAAAAUUAGCGGAUGACUUGUGGCUGGGGGUGAAAGGCCAAUCAAACCGGGAGAUAGCUGGUUCUCCCCGAAAGCUAUUUAGGUAGCGCCUCGUGAAUUCAUCUCCGGGGGUAGAGCACUGUUUCGGCAAGGGGGUCAUCCCGACUUACCAACCCGAUGCAAACUGCGAAUACCGGAGAAUGUUAUCACGGGAGACACACGGCGGGUGCUAACGUCCGUCGUGAAGAGGGAAACAACCCAGACCGCCAGCUAAGGUCCCAAAGUCAUGGUUAAGUGGGAAACGAUGUGGGAAGGCCCAGACAGCCAGGAUGUUGGCUUAGAAGCAGCCAUCAUUUAAAGAAAGCGUAAUAGCUCACUGGUCGAGUCGGCCUGCGCGGAAGAUGUAACGGGGCUAAACCAUGCACCGAAGCUGCGGCAGCGACGCUUAUGCGUUGUUGGGUAGGGGAGCGUUCUGUAAGCCUGCGAAGGUGUGCUGUGAGGCAUGCUGGAGGUAUCAGAAGUGCGAAUGCUGACAUAAGUAACGAUAAAGCGGGUGAAAAGCCCGCUCGCCGGAAGACCAAGGGUUCCUGUCCAACGUUAAUCGGGGCAGGGUGAGUCGACCCCUAAGGCGAGGCCGAAAGGCGUAGUCGAUGGGAAACAGGUUAAUAUUCCUGUACUUGGUGUUACUGCGAAGGGGGGACGGAGAAGGCUAUGUUGGCCGGGCGACGGUUGUCCCGGUUUAAGCGUGUAGGCUGGUUUUCCAGGCAAAUCCGGAAAAUCAAGGCUGAGGCGUGAUGACGAGGCACUACGGUGCUGAAGCAACAAAUGCCCUGCUUCCAGGAAAAGCCUCUAAGCAUCAGGUAACAUCAAAUCGUACCCCAAACCGACACAGGUGGUCAGGUAGAGAAUACCAAGGCGCUUGAGAGAACUCGGGUGAAGGAACUAGGCAAAAUGGUGCCGUAACUUCGGGAGAAGGCACGCUGAUAUGUAGGUGAGGUCCCUCGCGGAUGGAGCUGAAAUCAGUCGAAGAUACCAGCUGGCUGCAACUGUUUAUUAAAAACACAGCACUGUGCAAACACGAAAGUGGACGUAUACGGUGUGACGCCUGCCCGGUGCCGGAAGGUUAAUUGAUGGGGUUAGCGGUAACGCGAAGCUCUUGAUCGAAGCCCCGGUAAACGGCGGCCGUAACUAUAACGGUCCUAAGGUAGCGAAAUUCCUUGUCGGGUAAGUUCCGACCUGCACGAAUGGCGUAAUGAUGGCCAGGCUGUCUCCACCCGAGACUCAGUGAAAUUGAACUCGCUGUGAAGAUGCAGUGUACCCGCGGCAAGACGGAAAGACCCCGUGAACCUUUACUAUAGCUUGACACUGAACAUUGAGCCUUGAUGUGUAGGAUAGGUGGGAGGCUUAGAAGUGUGGACGCCAGUCUGCAUGGAGCCGACCUUGAAAUACCACCCUUUAAUGUUUGAUGUUCUAACGUUGACCCGUAAUCCGGGUUGCGGACAGUGUCUGGUGGGUAGUUUGACUGGGGCGGUCUCCUCCUAAAGAGUAACGGAGGAGCACGAAGGUUGGCUAAUCCUGGUCGGACAUCAGGAGGUUAGUGCAAUGGCAUAAGCCAGCUUGACUGCGAGCGUGACGGCGCGAGCAGGUGCGAAAGCAGGUCAUAGUGAUCCGGUGGUUCUGAAUGGAAGGGCCAUCGCUCAACGGAUAAAAGGUACUCCGGGGAUAACAGGCUGAUACCGCCCAAGAGUUCAUAUCGACGGCGGUGUUUGGCACCUCGAUGUCGGCUCAUCACAUCCUGGGGCUGAAGUAGGUCCCAAGGGUAUGGCUGUUCGCCAUUUAAAGUGGUACGCGAGCUGGGUUUAGAACGUCGUGAGACAGUUCGGUCCCUAUCUGCCGUGGGCGCUGGAGAACUGAGGGGGGCUGCUCCUAGUACGAGAGGACCGGAGUGGACGCAUCACUGGUGUUCGGGUUGUCAUGCCAAUGGCACUGCCCGGUAGCUAAAUGCGGAAGAGAUAAGUGCUGAAAGCAUCUAAGCACGAAACUUGCCCCGAGAUGAGUUCUCCCUGACUCCUUGAGAGUCCUGAAGGAACGUUGAAGACGACGACGUUGAUAGGCCGGGUGUGUAAGCGCAGCGAUGCGUUGAGCUAACCGGUACUAAUGAACCGUGAGGCUUAACC